CAAGAUCUGGAUCUGCCCCUUUUGUUUCCAGCGUAAUCACUUUCCUCCUCACUACGCCAUGAUCUCCGAGACCAAUCUCCCCGCUGAGCUCUACCCUCAAUACACGACUGUGCAGUACAUGCUUCCUAACCCUAAUGUUAAUUCCAAUAAUCCCACGAACGAAGGUGCACCAUUGGCUUCUCCUGUUUUCUUAUUUGUUCUUGAUAUGUGUAUGAUCGAGGAGGAGUUUGGGUUCGUGAA
rnacentral:misc_RNA from 1 species